AGGCUAGUCACGUGCCUUAUAGAACCUCGAAAUUAACUCAUUUGUUGCAAAACUCUCUUGGUGGUAACAGUAAAAGUUUGAUGUUCGUGAAUGUUUCUCCUCGCGAGGACUCUUUCCAGGAAACCCUAUGUUCACUUCGAUUUGCCACUCAGG